rnacentral:lncRNA from 1 species
UAUUAGACACUGGAGAAGGUAUAAUUAAUAAAUAAGAUGAGGUCUCUGUUCUCAUGGAACUCAGGGUAACCCUACAUAAAUAAAUAACCAUCAUACAAAUUGAACUAUGAAAAGUGCCUAAAAGAGAUUCUAAUCAAGAAAGGCAAAAAGGACUAUUACAAUUUUUCAGCAGCACAUUUUAAAAAAAUUAGUUUAGACUCAAUACUAUAUAUUAGCUCCAAGGCAGAAGAGUGGUAGGGGCUAGGCAAUGAGGGUUAAGUGACUUGCCCAGGGUCACACAGCUGGGAAGUGGCUGAGACCAGAUUUUUUAAAAAUUAGUUUUUUAGUUGAUGAUUUUUAAAUCACCAUAAUUUCCCCCAGUAAAAGUUAACAUAACUGAAAAAUCCAGAAAAGUCUGGAAAUCUACCCAAUGUAUAACCCUUGUGGACCUCCACAAAGGGCUGGAGCAGGCAUGUCUUUUCACAACUCUGCCUUUGAAUCCUGCUUGCUCUUGAUCAUCUUGAAGCUUUAACUUUUAAUUUUGUGUGUGGUUGUUCUGUGUACAUUGUAGUUUCUUGGCUUUGCUUUCUUUGCUUUGUAUCAUUUCAUACAGCUCUUUGCAGGCUUCUCUAUAGUCACCACAUUAGUCAUGUCUAACAGCACUUGUUUAGUCGUUCCCUAAUGAAUGGAGAUCGUCUUUGUUUCUAAUUCUCUGUGAACACAGAAGGGCCAUCAAGCAGCACUUUUAAUGAAAAGAGCAUUUACCGCUCUCAGCUGAAAGCCAGCCCAGGUGUUCAAAGGUCUGUCAGCUCCUAAUUGGCUCCUUAAAGUUUCCUCCUGGUCUUCAGCUGAGCUCUUAAUGACUUCAUUGGGAAAAGCAUCGUCUUGUCAUUGCCUGAGAUGUGAAGCUGCCUUCGCCUGAAAAUCCUCGUGAUCCUACUUGUCAAUCAGGAUUCUAUCGCUAUAAAGGAGAGAGGACCAGGGGGAGGCUUUCCUCAGUCCGCAGUUUUCCUUUGACCGUUUGUAGGUGCUUAGAAGAGACUCUGGAGCCUCUGUUUUGUUUUCAUCAAAUCGGGCAGCAAGAUCUACUUAGCAGAAAAUAGACUGGAGGACCAGUUUCAAGUUUUCUGCCUGAAUAACUCCAUUUUCCUUUCGGGAUCCAGAUAAAAGUAAGCUGUAACCCAUCU